rnacentral:rRNA from 1 species
GCGACCCCAGGUCAGGCGGGACUACCCGCUGAGUUUAAGCAUAUCAU